rnacentral:rRNA from 1 species
GUCUACGGCCAUACCACGCUGAAAGCACCGGUUCUCGUCCGAUCACCGAAGUUAAGCAGCGUCGGGCCCGGUUAGUACUUGGAUGGGUGACCGCCUGGGAAUACCGGGUGCUGUAGGCUUCC